rnacentral:tRNA from 1 species
UCCCUUGUAGCUCAGUCGGUAAAGAAUCUGCCUGCAAUGCAGGAGAACUGGAUUCGAUUCCUAGAUUGGGAA